GAAAUGCGAUAAGUAAUGUGAAUUGCAGAAUUCCGUGAAUCAUCGAAUCUUUGAACGCACAUUGCGCCCUCUGGUAUUCCGGGGGGCAUGCCUGUCCGAGCGUCAUUGCGAACCCCUCAAGCACGGCUUGUGUGAUGGGCCCUCCCGCGUCUUGGUCGUCAAGACGGGCCCGAAAAGCAGUGGCGGCUUCGCGGUUAUCCGAUCAGCCAGAGCGUAUGGGGACUUUCUCUCUGUCACACGCCCGCGGCGCGGACCGACGCCUGUCGACCCUUAUUCAUCUUUUUCUCGGUUGACCUCGGAUCAGGUAGGGAUACCCGCUGAACUUAAGC
rnacentral:misc_RNA from 1 species